rnacentral:rRNA from 1 species
AGUGAACGCUGGCGGUAGGCCUAACACAUGCAAGUCGAACGGCAGCACAGUACUAGCUUGCUCUUCCGGGUGGCGAGUGGCGUACGUGUGAGGUAUACAUCGUAAUCUACUUUUUCGUGUGGCUUCACGUAGCUAGACUUACGCUCAUACCGCAUCCCCCCUACGGUUGAAAGCAUUGGAUCUUCGCACCUUGCGCGAUUGAAUGAGCCGAUGUCGGAUUAGCUAGUUGGCGGGGUAAAGGCCCACCAAGGCGACGAUCCGUAGCUGGUCUGAGAGGAUGAUCAGCGGCAUGGGAACUGAGACACGGUCAAGACGACUAAGGGAGGCAGCAGUGGGGAAUAUUGGACAAUAGGGGCAAGCAUGAUACAGCGAGACCGCGUGGGUGAAAAAGGCGUUCGGGGUGUAAAGACCUUUUGUUGGGAAAGAAAAGCAGCAGGUUAAUACCCAGCGGUUGUGACGGUAACGAAAGAAUAAGCACCGGCUAACUUCGUG